rnacentral:lncRNA from 1 species
UGGGUUGACUUGCAAUACUUUUUUGUUCUUAAUUCCUCUCCUCUCCAUUUUGACCAUUUUGUACAUGAAUGUUCUAUAUAUGUUGUUAAGAUGUUCCCCAAUGAUGAUUGUGACCAUUUUUUCUAGGUGUAUGCAAUAAUGGAGAUACAGACAACUGAAACUUUAGAGAAUUCAACCUCACUUCUUGUUACAAGCAGAAAGACAACUGAGACUUUGGAACAACUAACACCACCUGUGAUUUCCCACGCACAGACAAUUGAAACAUCUGAGCCGCCACUGCCACUGCCUCUGGUGACAAACAUGCUGGAAAGCUUAUGAGCUUUUCAUUGAACAUUAAUCCAAGUAAGUUCUUAAAGCUUAUGAGCUUUUCGUGGAACAUUAAUCCAAUAAUUAUGGCAAUUUCUAAUUUUCUUAAAUGUCAUAAAUGAUUAACUUGUUAAAUAUUAUUACAAUUUACAAAAAGUAUUAAAAUUGAAAGGGGGGAGAUUAGCUUCUCUCUAUUACUUAAUAAAAUAUAAUUCAUAUUUAUUCUUAAUAUCCAUCUCUGUUACUUACAAAUUUUCUUAGUUUACAUGUGGCUGUAGAAACCCUACAAAGAUUACAUGUGGUUAUAAUCCUUGUGGAGCUAGGUUUUUCAACGAGAAAUACAUCUUAGGUAAAAAAAAUUAUAUUUCUACCCUUUUCCAAAGUGUUUUAAAUAUUUUUCAGUAAGCAAACCAUUAUACCCUUUUGUCUGUCUAAAAAAAACUAUUUCCUCCAAUUAUCGGUUUUAGUAUCUAUGUAAAAUAAAGAAAAGCACAACACACUUUCAUAAUUUUAUUGAUUGAGCAAUGUGUAAUUCGACAGAUAUGCAUAAGACGAAUCAGAAAAAGAAGAAGAUC